CCUACGGGAGACAGCAGUGAGGAAUAUUGGUCAAUGGACGAGAGUCUGAACCAGCCAAGUAGCGUGAAGGAUGACUGCCCUAUGGGUUGUAAACUUCUUUUAUAUGGGAAUAAAAUGUUCCACGUGUGGGAUUUUGUAUGUACCAUAUGAAUAAGGAUCGGCUAACUCCGUGCCAGCAGCCGCGGUAAUACGGAGGAUCCGAGCGUUAUCCGGAUUUAUUGGGUUUAAAGGGAGCGUAGGUGGAUUGUUAAGUCAGUUGUGAAAGUUUGCGGCUCAACCGUAAAAUUGCAGUUGAAACUGGCAGUCUUGAGUACAGUAGAGGUGGGCGGAAUUCGUGGUGUAGCGGUGAAAUGCUUAGAAAUCACGAAGAACUCCGAUUGCGAAGGCAGUUCACUGGACUGCAACUGACACUGAGGCUCGAAAGUGUGGGUAUCAAACAGGAUUAGAUACCCGUGUAGUC
rnacentral:rRNA from 1 species